CUAGCUGUAAACGAUGGAUACUAGGCGUUGAGAGUAUCGACCCUCUCAGUGUCGUAGCUAACGCGUUAAGUAUCCCGCCUGGGGAGUACGCGCGCAAGCGUGAAACUCAAAGGAAUUGACGGGGGCACGCACAAGCGGUGGAGUAUGUGGUUUAAUUCGAUGCAACGCGAAGAACCUUACCAGGGCUUGACAUGUCCGGAACCCUGCCCAAAGGCGGGGGUGCCUACGGGAACCGGAACACAGGUGGUGC
rnacentral:rRNA from 1 species